rnacentral:rRNA from 1 species
UACGUAGGUGGCAAGCGUUGUCCGGAAUUAUUGGGCGUAAAGCGCGCGCAGGCGGUCCUUUAAGUCUGAUGUGAAAGCCCACGGCUCAACCGUGGAGGGUCAUUGGAAACUGGGGGACUUGAGUACAGAAGAGAAGAGUGGAAUUCCACGUGUAGCGGUGAAAUGCGUAGAGAUGUGGAGGAAUACCAGUGGCGAAGGCGACUCUUUGGUCUGUAACUGACGCUGAGGCGCGAAAGCGUGGGGAGCAAACAGG